rnacentral:lncRNA from 1 species
UGGAAAGAUCUUCCAUGCUCUUGGAUAGGCAGAAUUAACAUUGGUAAUACUACCAAAAGUGUUAUACGGAUUUAAUGAAAUUCCUAUUAAAAUGCCAAUGUCACUUAGGGCUGGAUACUCAUACUAGCAAACACCAUGCCUACCUGUGUAGGUUAGGAAUAUCUGUAGGCCUUAAACUAAAAACUACUCUGGCAGUUCCUUUUGAUAGUUAUCAGGCAUUCCUGCCUAAGAAUCUCUUUUGAAGCCUCCAGUUUACUUAUUCUUGGAAGUUACGUUUAACAUAGAGGUCAUACUAGUAAAAGGAUUUUGCAAGAUCAGAUGACAUUAAAUUAUUAAACUGUGUCUUAAGGGGAAGGACAUCUGUAACCCUAAAAGUUAAAUGUUAUGUUUACAGUCCUGGUAACUGGGGAUGUUAAAGCCUGGUGAGGGAAAUUAUGUACAGUGACAUGUUCUAGCUGCUGCAACACUUUUUCAGUACUCAUGGUUUUUGUUUCUCUCAUAGAAGCACCCAUCCCCAGAUGACAACCUGUUUUUCCCCAACCAGAUCUCAAAUGGAACUGACUUCUAAAAGGGAACUCAUGUCCCCCCAUGUCAUCAUCCCCCAUGUCGUCAUCCCCCACGUCGUCCAUCGUCCCCCAUGUCAUCAAGCCCCCUCAUGUUCGACACCCCUUUUCAGCCCUGAAGCAGCCAGAACGAGCCAUCACCCCUUCUCGCCCCUUCCCCUUACAGCAAUAAAGUUUCUAAAAUUAGGGGGGGAACAAAGACAGAAAUGGAUAGGCAGUGUAAAAAGGUAAAUUGAGUCAGGUUGGAUCUAGGAGGCCAAUUUUAAGUGAGUCUGGGAAGUUGAAGACUGUCCCCUGAGGAUUACUGUUUACCAAGAUGUAGAGCCUGCCCAAAUAGUCCCCCAACUGAGGAAACCAUGAUUGGUUCCCAAGUUUCCAGACAAAGGGGGGAAUGAAAAACCAGCCUCUAUCUCAGAGCAAAGCCUGUCCAAGGAAGGGACAUGGCCUUUGUCCUUGGAAAAACCCACAGAGCACUCCUAAGCACAUUCCCACCCUGCUAAGUUGUUUAUCUACAAAUAACAGGAGAGAUAUGCUGCGCCAGAUGUCCCUGACUCUGUCAGGCUAGGUGGGGAUCCAUAGCAGCCCCCUAGCAGCCACCAAUUAGCAUGAGACAGGGAAAUAGCUGGGAUGCCAGAUAACACUCCCAAUAGUUUAUGGUGGUUGAUAACAAGUUGGGAAACCAUGUAAUUCAGCACAUACACCCCACUUGGCUUAAACCAAUCAGUUCAAAUGAGUACCCCUUUUGUACUAACCAAUCACCCCUACCCAACUUGUUCCCACCAGUGAAUGUGCUAAUCAUGUUUUAGAGUUGUUAUUCGAUUUUCCUGCGGUGUGUGAUGAUUUGCUAAAACAGGCUAUGAUGUAUGUGAAGUCCCUGCCCUCUCCCAAAGAAUGUAUAAAAAUGCUGCAAACCCUGGGUUCAGGGCCUCUCAGCAUCACCAGUUGCUGUGUGUGCACAGGAUCAAGCUAGCUCGAAAUAAACACCUCUUUGUUGCUUGCAAAAUAAAUAAAUAAAAUGCCAAUGUCAUUCUUCAUAGAACUAGAAAAAGCAAUCAUGAAAUUCAUUUGGAAAAAUAAGAGACCCAGAAUAGCCAAAGCAAUCCUUAGCAAGAAAAGUGAAGCAGGAGGCAUCACUACCAUAAAUUAUGCUACAGAGCCAUAGUAACAAAAAUGGCAUUGUAUUUGCAACAAAGCAGACACAUAGACCAAUGGUACAGAAUAGAAGAUACAGAGACAAAUGCAUAUACAUACUAGACAAAGGAAUGAAAACACAUUGGAGAAAAGAUACUUCAACAAAUUGCGCUGAGAAAAAUGGAACUCCUUUUGUGGCAAAAUAAAAUUAGACGCUGAUCUCUUACCCUGCACAAAACUCAACUCUAAUUGGAUCAAGGGCCCUGGCAUUAGAUCAGAGACCCUGUGCCUAACAGAAGAAAAAGUAGGCCCAAAUCUCCACCAUAUUGUCUUAGGAACUGAAUUUCUUAACAAUACUCCUAAAGCAAAAGAAGUGAAAUAAAAAAUCAUUAAAUGAGAUGAAGUCACACUAAAAAGCUUUUUUCACAGCAAAGGAAACAAGAAUGUGAAGAGAGAAUCUGAAGAAGAGGAGAAAAUCACUGUCACAUGUACCUCAGAUAAAGCAUUAAUCUCCAGGAUCUACAAAGAACUGAAAACAUUUAACUCUAAAAGAAAAUCCAAUUAAUAAAUGGGCAAAGAAACUGAACCGGCAUUUAACAGGAGAAGAAAUGUGAUCGGUCAACAAAUAUAUAAAAAAAACUGUUUAACAUAUCUAGCAGUUGGAGGAAUGUGAAUUAACUACACUGAGGUUUCAUCUCACUCCAGUCAGAAAGGCAAUUAUCAAGACUACUAGGAACAGUAAAUGUUGGUGAGGAUGUGGGGAAAAAGGUGCACUCAUACAUUAUUGUUGGGACUGCAAAUUGGUGCACCCACACUUGAAAGCAAUAUGGAGAUUCCUAAGAAAACUUGAAAUGGAACCAUCAUUUGACCCAACUAUCCCACUCCUCUGUUUAUACCAAAAGGACUUAAAAUCAGCAUACUGUAAUGACUAAGCUGUCGGGAGCCACUCUGAAUGACCAUGCCUUCCAGUCCUGAAGCAUGAGGCUCUGACCAAUCAUUACAUUCAUGGUGGUUUGGGCAUUGACCCAGCUCAGAUAGCAAGGCCAUGCUUCAGAUUAAACGUACCCCUGGGGUUGAGUUACACUCACCUGCUCCCUUGUAAUUCUACCUCUUCUGCUGUUUUAUGGAUAGAACUUUCUAAGCACAGUGUCCCCGCCCCAUAUAAAGCAGAAGUCCAAACAUGCUCCCCCCCACUUUCUUGUCAGACUCUCGUGACAUUCUCUUGCUCUCCCUUUUGGGGAGCCUGAAGCUGAGAGCUUGGGGAAGCCGUCCUGAAACUUGUGUAAAGGUAAUUUUUGUCUGUGUUUUAUUUAUAUCACCACAAAUUCACACACACACUACCUUAUUUCAGCUGCCUGUGCCUAUUUGGGGUGGCACUAAUCCAC